CCACACCAAAACAAAACAAAUUAGUCAACUAGCUAGUAGUGGUGAGAAAAAGAAGUCAUUUUGUACUACUACUGCCCACAUGAUGCCACAGUACCCCAUUAUCUCCUUCCCUUUCUUUCUUCCCCUACAUCAUAUUUUCUCUAUCUGUCAAAAGUUUCGUUUCUUUAAUGGGGUUUUGUGUAUGUUCUGUCCACUGCAUGUAACAUCUUACUCAGAGAAAAGAAGUAAAAGAUCUUUUUCCUUUACUACUACUACUAGUAGUACUAGAGUUUAGGGUAUGGUGUAUUCCAACACAAUUCAGACACACAUAAAACCCUAAUGGCCGUGAUAGUAGUGGAUUCAGAAUUUAGACGCUCUGAGUUUAAGUCAGAAGAUAUGUUAUCUAGGUUUUUUUUUCUUCAUAAAAGGGGAUUGUGUUUUGGUUUUAGAUCUGAAUUUUAGCAUGAUAAUGUUUGUGGUUGGGUGUGAAGCAAAUACUAAGAGAAGGGGGGACAAGGAGAAUCAAGACUGACAGAAGAGAGUGAGCACACGCAGGCAAUUGUAUAGAGAUUAUAUUACUGUCAUUUGCGUGUGCUCACUUCUCUUGCUGUCAUCUCUCUCUAUACUUUUCCCCCAUUCUUUUUUGCUUUGCUUUGCUUCCACCACUCAAUCAGCCAACACUUGUUCAAACUGCAGGGGGCGGAUGCAGCGUAGGAUUGCUGGCUUCAACUGAACCAAUAUUUUUCAUGCGAAACAUAAAUUUAUAGGUAAAAUCUCUCAACUGAACUAUUAUUUUCGAUACGAAAUAUAAAUUUAUAGGUAAAAUCUCUCAACUAAAUCAGUACUUUCGAUGCGGAAUAUAAAUUUAUCGGUAAAAUUUCUCAAAACUAUAAAAGCUAGUAGAUAGUUUCAAUUCUAAAAAUGUUGGAGAUUGAACCGUAAAAUUUAAACUUUGAAUCCGCGGUAGGUUACGUAAGAUAAUUUAUUAUUGUUCUUUCUGAUCUUUAGCUAACAUAUAUACAUCUGUCUAAAGAAAACAGUAGCUAUAGCCUAUAGGAUUGAUGGACACGACAGUCAACAUUGCCACUGACAUAUUUGCUAUGUUGUUAACUUGUUAACCACAAAAAAUUACUGCACCAUAAUAAAAUUGACACUUAAGUCAGUUGACGUGUUCUUCUCUAGUUCUCUCUUUCUCUCUCUAUAUAUACUAUUAUUUCUACCAGUUUGUAUUUAUGUUCUCUUGGUGGGUUUUGGAGAUUAGACUGAAAGAAGCUGAAGUUUAUUAUAAAAAAAAAAUACUUAGUAGAAGAAGAAUCAGAACAGUUAUCAGAUCAGGUAAGAAUCUUAGACUUUUAGUAAUAAUUUUUACCAAUUAAAUAUUGUACUAAGCGUGUCUUUUCAUGAACUUAUUACUCCAUAUCUCUGAUGAAGAGGACGAAUGUUAGAUUUGGGAGGUACGCUUGUUACUGUUCUGUCUUAACGGAUAACUAAUUAUUUUUACGGCUUCAGUACAUUUAUUUGCAAAAAUCGAGAAAUUUAUUGAAAAAAAAUUUCACUUUUAUGAUUUUAACGGAAAACUUUCUUCUUUCUACCUUUUCUAGCUCAUUUAUAACUUCAUUGAUUUAUUUCUUGAUUUUGCUCUUGACAAUCUUGCUUUAUUUUUCCGGCUGUAUUUUUUUUUCCUUUUCUCUUUUCGUCUUAUUGAAACUAGGGUAUAUGGGAAACAGCCUCGGGUAGAGAUAGAGCCUUAGACGUCCGCGUAUACACUAGCCUUCCCAAAUUCUACUCGUGUGAUUUUACGGUCGGGUCGUUGUUGUUGUUGUUAUUGUAUUUUUCUUUUCUUGAGUGUGGUAAUCUAGGACUUAAAAAUGAGCAUAAAUUUCUCAGAUAAAAAGGAGGAAUCUUAAAAAUGUUUCUAUUCUUAAAGAUAUUCUUUUAAGUUGAUGAAUCUCGGAUUUGUUUUUUUGAGUAUGAAGGGAUUUGGUUAAAUUUAUGUGGGUUCUUGUUAAUAUUUUAUGUAGGUUUGUUGACAAGCUAAUCUCUCUUUAAUUUUGGUAAUGAUAUGCUUUUUAAUUUCAUAGUUGAGGCUAGGAAGAAAAUUAGUAAAGAUUAGAACUUUGAAUAUGACUCCUAUGUUUGAUAAGAUUUUGCUUCCUUUUCUGCGGAGGUAGGCUUCCAGUUUUUGGUAUGAAGUUUGGAGAAAAUUUUCCCAUGUACAGGUUAGAAUAUUACAUGAAUAAUGAGCUAUAAUUUUCACUUGUUUGUAUUUGAUUUAGUUCUUUUUGUUUGUAAAGAAUAUAAUUCAUUUUGUUCUUUGUUAACUGCAGUCCUUCGUUGUAAUUACACUUAAAUAUUCUAACCCUUUUUGAUAGCCACUAUUGCCUGCCGGUGGCGACAUCAAGCAGCUUUUUUCUCUUCUUUUGAUUAACAGGUAUUUGAUUUUAUCAUGCUUUUCUCUCUUCCGUUGUCUUAGUAAAUUUAAAAUCUCUCGGAAUCUAUGCAAAUCUAGUGAAAAAUAGGGUACAAUGAAAGAAAAAGAUCUGUACAACCAAUAUCAAUUUGCUGGGAUUUAUAUGUUUAGUUUAGGUUCAAUGCUUUCUUCAGUCUUUUAGUCUCGUCAGAGAAAAUGUGAGAACUUCUAGUACAUUUUGUUAUUAUUUUAUAUGAUAUUGGGAUUGGAUUUAACUUAAAUGGAGCGACAUGAAUUCAUCUAGUCGGUCCCUUUUUUGGUAUAAGCAUUGUGGUGGUGGUGGUGGUGGUGGUGGUGUAUGUUUUUCUUUCUUCUCUCACUGCUGCAAUUGGUGAAUUGUCUGAUAAAGGAAGUGGCUUUGCACCACUUGCAUGUCUAUGUUCUAUUUCUUGUUGAGAUGUAGUAAAUAUGGAGUUCUUUUUGGGAUCAGUUUAGUCCUAGUUUAUAUCAGCUGAAUGGAUAUGUUUGACACAAAUAUUUGACUUUGGGAUUGUAAACUUGAGCUAGUAAGGGUAGCUCGGUGCACAAAGUAUCCCGCAUUUAUGUAAAAUUCGGGGAAGGACCGCACCCCAAGGGGUGUUGUAGACAGUCUACCCUAAUGCAAGUAUUAUUAGCUGUGGAAUGCAAGUAUUAUUAGUUGCUUCCAUCGUAACCUAGAUCACACAAAGACAACUUUACCGUUGCUCCUAGGCUCCUCUUCAAAACUUGAGCUAGUACUUUCUUGAAUAGAUUUUAGUUAUAUACACUGACAGUGUAAGGUUAUACACUACUCUCACUGAAGUUUAGCCUAUUAUGUCAUGUUAGCAGAUUACCGACUAAUGUUUAUCGUAUAGUUCUAUUUGUAAUUAUCUUAUAAAUGACUUAAUUGUGGAAAUAUUUAUGUACGAGUGCAUAAGGGACUAAUUUACAAGUAUAAAAGGUCCAAAAGGAGACUGAGAACUUUUGCACUUGCUCUAAGUACAUGUUGCUCCAUCAUUUUUCAAAAAUUGUAUAAUGAAAAUUAUUUCACAUUUCUCUCAAGUGAUUGUGUGGCUUAAUCGAGUUUGUAUGUUGAAAAAGUAUAGAUACUGCAUGUAGACUUCCAAAAUUAUUUAGCAGAUUAUGGUCUUGCUGAAUUGAGUAAUUUAUGAGUUUCCUUUGAAAUUAACUGACAACCAUGUGUUUGAAAUUUGGUAUUGGGACAAUAUUUCUAGAAGUUUCUUGAGUCGCGGGUCUAUUGAAAACAGCCUCUCUAUCCCUAUAAGGUAGGGGUAAAGUCUGCGUACACACUACCCUCUCAGACCCCAUUUAUGGAAUUGCACUGGGUUUGUUGUUGUUGUUGGACAACAUCUCUAGAAAUUAGUAUCUUCAUCUUUGUGUUUCUUUAUUGGUAUAUUUUAUUUGUUUGUUUUAGUAGUAAUUGACUAUUAGCUGUGACUAUUGGGAGGGGUAAAUGGUGUUACUGUAGCUUGUGAUAGUAAAGUUGCUUAUUGUAAAAUCCCACAAGUGGGGUCUGGGGAGGGUAGUGUUUACGCAGACCUUACUCCUACCCCGAAGGAGUAGAAAGGCUGUUUCCGGAAGACUCUCGGCUCAAGAUAAUAAAAAGACACUAUGUUAGAUAUAGGCAUUUUGUGAGGACUUGGUGCAAUUUGUAUAGCAUCUUGGUGGAGGAAAUAGUGUUCGAACACUAUAUUUGAACAUGGUAGGAUGGUAACAACAACAACAACAAACCCAGUGUAAUCCCACAAGUAGGGUCUGGGAAAGGUAGUGUGUACUCACACCUUACCCUACCUUUAAGAACACUAUAUUUGGACGUGGUGUGAUGGUACAUCUAUAAAUUUCUAGUUGGGAAGUCCUUUAUGCCUAACUCAAUUUUCUUUAAUUUGACAGAGAAUUAACAACUAUGAGAUCUAGCAUUGUUUUCUCGCAACAAAAUUAAGGAAUUAAAAACACUUCGAAUAUAGGAAGCAGCUCAAGUGGGAUAUUUGUUAUACGUUUGAGUGUUAGAGGCUGUGAAUUCUAAUAAUGUUCUUCAGUACACAAUUUCUAUUGCGUUCUUUGCUAGUUGGACUUGGAUAAGUAUUCUCACUAGGUUAGCAAGAAUUUUGUAUUGCCAGAAAAAAAUGUUGAAUACUCUAUUAUAACGAUAUAAUUUUUCCCCUAUUGUUAUUGUUCAGAGACGAUUUACAUAACGGACCCCCAACUUAUUUUGGAUUGAGGCGCAGUUGUUGCAGUUUGCUGUUCUCCCCGCCCUAAUGUUAUUGGUAACUGAGCAGCUCUUGCUUGUACAUUGCAGUAUCUAAAGAUGAACUAUAGGCAUGCGAAGCAUUUCAUAUUAAUGAUAUAAUGAAAGGCAGCCCGAGCAAAGUGCACGAGGUUAUGCUGGCUUUAUGGAGGAAUUUUUGGAAGAUGCUGGCUACCCAUUUCCUUGGCUGAGCUUGGAGUUCUGUAAGCUGGAUUUGGAUGCUGAAGCGGAGGGAUGAAAAUCAGUGUAACCUUAAUUCAAGUAUGAUUAAGGUGCAGUGAUUGCGGAUGAAAGCAGUGACGAAGACUUUACUUGAGUGUUGUUGAUCGUUAUUAGACUUUCUAUUAUUAUGUUUAAGGAUAUUUUAGUUUAGAAUUUUUUGUAUGCAAACUCAUCUAUUUUGACUUUUGAAUUGUUGACCAAACAAACAAUGUAUCCAUAUUUUGUUUUUGCACAUGGAUAAUGCUAGUUGGAUAUGGUGUAAACAAUUUCAUAGAAUAGGAAAAUAUUUCUCAUUUUGCUUC